AACGAACGCUGGCGGCAUGCCUAACACAUGCAAGUCGAACGAGACCUUCGGGUCUAGUGGCGCACGGGUGCGUAACGCGUGGGAAUCUGCCCUUGGGUUCGGAAUAACAGCGAGAAAUUGCUGCUAAUACCGGAUGAUGACGUAAGUCCAAAGAUUUAUCGCCCAAGGAUGAGCCCGCGUAGGAUUAGCUAGUUGGUGAGGUAAAGGCUCACCAAGGCGACGAUCCUUAGCUGGUCUGAGAGGAUGAUCAGCCACACUGGGACUGAGACACGGCCCAGACUCCUACGGGAGGCAGCAGUGGGGAAUAUUGGACAAUGGGCGAAAGCCUGAUCCAGCAAUGCCGCGUGAGUGAUGAAGGCUAGGUUGUAAAGACUCUUUACCCGGGUAUGAUAAUGACAGUACCGGGAGAAUAAG
rnacentral:rRNA from 1 species